rnacentral:rRNA from 2 species
GACGAACCGUCCAAACGUUAUUCGGUAUCACUGGGCUUAAAGCGUUCGUAGGCGGCCUAGUAGGUGAGAUGUGAAAGCCCACGGCUCAACCGUGGAACAGCGUUUCAAACCACUAGGCUCGAGGAUGGCAGGGGUAAUGGGAACUGAUGGUGGAGCGGUGAAAUGCGUUGAUAUCAUCAGGAACACCGGUGGCGAAAGCGCAUUACUGGGCCAUUUCUGACGCUGAGGAACGAAAGCUAGGGUAGCGAACGGG